rnacentral:rRNA from 1 species
GACGAACGCUGGCGGCGUGCUUAACACAUGCAAGUCGAACGGAAAGGCCCUGCUUUUGUGGGGUGCUCGAGUGGCGAACGGGUGAGUAACACGUGAGUAACCUGCCCUUGACUUUGGGAUAACUUCAGGAAACUGGGGCUAAUACCGGAUAGGAGCUCCUGCUGCAUGGUGGGGGUUGGAAAGUUUCGGCGGUUGGGGAUGGACUCGCGGCUUAUCAGCUUGUUGGUGGGGUAGUGGCUUACCAAGGCUUUGACGGGUAGCCGGCCUGAGAGGGUGACCGGCCACAUUGGGACUGAGAUACGGCCCAGACUCCUACGGGAGGCAGCAGUGGGGAAUAUUGCACAAUGGGCGGAAGCCUGAUGCAGCAACGCCGCGUGCGGGAUGACGCCUUCGGGUUGUAAACCGCUUUCGCCUGUGACGAAGCGUGAGUGACGGUAAUGGGUAAAGAAGCACCGGCUAACUACGUG